UGUGGCAGAAGCUGCAGUGGACACUGGGUACAGCUGGUGACGUAUCCAUUCCCCUAAGGACACCGCAUGCCCAUUCUCUAGCCCUGUGACUUUCAAGUGUUGCAGGGCUAUGAUGCUGACUCCAUUGGUCAGACUGCGUGAGUUUGAGUCUCAACUCCUCCACUUGAGGUUUGCCACCCAAAGACCACUUGUGGUUACCUUUUGGUUCUUGGAUGGGUAAAGGAUGGACAAGGUUAUAGACACCUGAAUUCCAAGCCUACGAAGAUCAGAUUUUCCAGGAGAAGGUGAAGGAGCCCACCAGGAGCCUUGACUUCAGAGUAAGGUGUUUGGAAAACAGGAUGAUGAUAUGAAAAUAGCAGACACCUGCAGAAAACCCCUGCUGGGCCCUCAGGCUCCAGAAAUGAGUAAUUCAUGGCCCUCCUCCCUGAGGUUCUCAGCUCCUCAGUCAGCCCCAAACCAGGAGACUCAUCUCUCGUGGAAGGGCUGAUUCAGACGUGUCCAUCAAGCCCAGCUUCCAAAUACUCAUCUCAGUAGCUGUCUCCUGUAUUGUUAGUUUACUUUGAGCCAACCUUAGUCUAAAUUUUAAAGAAGAUAAAGGAAACAUUCUAAGUCAGGUCACCAACUGUGUAGAAAUAAAAGAGGCAACUUUUAUUUUGGUUUGCUCCUAUGAAGAAUUCUUCUGUGUAAAUAAUCUAAACUUAAUAAAAAUAUCAUUGUCUGAGCUACA